AUACGUAGGGGGCGAGCGUUGUCCGGAAUGAUUGGGCGUAAAGGGCGCGUAGGCGGCCCGGUAAGUCUGGAGUGAAAGUCCUGUUUUUAAGAUGGGAAUUGCUUUGGAUACUGUCGGGCUUGAGUGCAGGAGAGGUAAGUGGAAUUCCCAGUGUAGCGGUGAAAUGCGUAGAGAUUGGGAGGAACACCAGUGGCGAAGGCGACUUACUGGACUGUAACUGACGCUGAGGCGCGAAAGUGUGGGGAGCAAACAGGAUUAGAUACCCUGGUAGUCCACACUGUAAACAAUGAAUGCUAGGUGUAGGGGGUAUCGACCCCUUCUGUGCCGCAGUCAACACAAUAAGCAUUCCGCCUGGGGAGUACGGCCGCAAGGUUGAAACUCAAAGGAAUUGGCGGGG
rnacentral:rRNA from 1 species